AUUCAGCUGACGAGUCCCAAAUCGGACGAAGCUCACGUCCUGCAU
rnacentral:hammerhead_ribozyme from 1 species